UACGGGAGGCAGCAGUGGGGAAUAUUGCACAAUGGGCGCAAGCCUGAUGCAGCCAUGCCGCGUGUAUGAAGAAGGCCUUCGGGUUGUAAAGUACUUUCAGUCGUGAGGAAGGUGUUAAGGUUAAUAACCUUAGCAAUUGACGUUAGCGACAGAAGAAGCACCGGCUAACUCCGUGCCAGCAGCCGCGGUAAUACGGAGGGUGCGAGCGUUAAUCGGAAUUACUGGGCGUAAAGGGCACGCAGGCGGUUAAUUAAGUUGGAUGUGAAAUCCCCGGGCUUAACCUGGGAAUGGCAUUCAAGACUGGUUAGCUAGAGUCUUGUAGAGAGGGGUAGAAUUCCAUGUGUAGCGGUGAAAUGCGUAGAGAUGUGGAGGAAUACCGGUGGCGAAGGCGGCCCCUGGGACAAGACUGACGCUCAUGUGCGAAAGCGUGGGGAGCAAACAGGAUUUAGAUACC
rnacentral:rRNA from 1 species